CCUACGGGGAGCAGCAGUGAGGAAUAUUGGUCAAUGGGAGGAAUCCUGAACCAGCCAUGCCGCGUGCAGGACGACGGCUCUACGAGUUGUAAACUGCUUUUGUACCGGGGUAAAAUGCUCUACGAGUAGGGUUUUGAAAGUACGGUACGAAUAAGGAUCGGCUAACUCCGUGCCAGCAGCCGCGGUAAUACGGAGGAUCCGAGCGUUAUCCGGAUUUAUUGGGUUUAAAGGGUGCGUAGGUUGUUUUAUAAGUUAGCGGUGAAAUACCGAUGCUCAACAUCGGGGCUGCCGCUGAUACUGUAGGACUAGAGAUCGGAUGCAGCAGGCGGAAUGUGUGGUGUAGCGGUGAAAUGCAUAGAUAUUACACAGAACACCGAUUGCGAAGGCAGCUUGCUAGGCCGGAUCUGACACUGAUGCACGAAAGCGUGGGGAUCGAACAGGAUUAGAUACCCUGGUAGUC
rnacentral:rRNA from 1 species